rnacentral:tRNA from 1 species
GGGACAGUAGCUUAGAUGGCGAGAGCAGCAUAAUGUAAGGCGUAGGUUCAAUUCCUGCCUGUCCCACCA